GUCAUCAUCCUGAAGUCUUGCUUUUUUCCAAUGGACUUUCAUUCAAAACAACCCUUUCUCUAUAAAUAACAUUCUUCUCCUAAUGUUGGACUUGCCUAUGGUUUUGCCAUAGCUUGCUUAUACUUCAUUGCAAUUCUCAAAUAAACACAUUUUUUUCUGCUGAUGAAAUAACUCACUCUUCUAUUUUUAAGGUAAACAACACCCAGCAGAACAGAAAAUGAGGGAUGGUGGACAUGAAGGAAGAAAUUCAGCCACACAGGGGAAGCUUGAUUACCAAAACAACCAUGUUUGAGGCAAUGCUUGGCUCUGGAGCUCCAAUGUGGCCCUAACAACACAGAAGUAGAACCAUGAAGAUACACAAGAUUAGGGCUUUUCUUGGGCUUCAGAUCAUCAUCCAGAAAGUCUUUUUUUGGAGAUCAAAGGUAUUUAUCACCAAGUAAACUUUUAAGGACCUGGCUCCAAACAUCAUGAGGGGGAUGGACACAAGACUACACCAUCACAGAAAUGGCAACCAAGUGAUGUCACAGAUCCAAGUGGUUACAUGUGGAAUACGUAGCAGAAAAGACCCCUCAGGGACUAAUAUGGGAAUCCAAUGGUCUUGCUCUGAUUUCUCCAAAUCCACAAUUUGUGUUGUGCCAGACCAUGACUAUUUAUCUCUGUGAUGAAUACUUAAUGCAAAUGGCAAGCCAUCCUGAGACAGGCUAGCAUCCAUCCGUACCCACCGCGAAGGCCAGGGAGCAGUGUGUGAAGCACUGAUGUCAAAGGCCAUUAACACAAAUGAAAAUUAACAUUUUUCAUCAAGGUCUAACAGUGUGCCACCAAACAGGCCAACCACUGUGCCACUUGUUUAUAGAAACACAUUGCUAAUCAGUCAGUAAAAUCUGUAAUAUCUGUGCUUCUGCA
rnacentral:lncRNA from 12 species